CACCAUGGGCUGACUGAGCAUUUAUGUUGCAGACUUUGAAGUUAACUAAUAUUCAGAGGGUCCCUGAUCAACUGGCGAAGACACUAUCACUUCCAAUGAGGCCAUAUAGAGCCUUACUUCAGGCCACUUAUACUUCCACUCAACGUGGACAACCAGAUGUCUCACCUGCUUGUAGUGCUUCUCUUCAUUGCUCUUAGAGGAUCACCCCCAAGAGGGGAUACAGUGCAGCAGAAGUUCACUUUCAGUUUCUGCUCACAUAUCAAACAAACCCAUCCAUGCCCAUGAUGAAUCUCUUUCUCCUGUGUCAGGUAGU
rnacentral:lncRNA from 1 species